CCCUUAGAUGUUCUGGGCCGCACGCGUGUUACACUGAGUGGAUCAGCGGGUCAGGUUGCGCGAAAGUGUUUCCUAAUCUUUAAAUCCGCUCGUGAUGGGGAUUGACGGUUGCAAUUUUCCGUCAUGAACGAGGAAUACCUUGUAAGCGCGGGUCAUCGUCCCGCGCUGAAUACGUCCCUGCCCUUUGUACACACCGCCCGUCGCUCCUACCGAUUGAAUGUUCCGAUGAAUACCAUGGACUGAGAGUAUGAAUGGGUUCGCCUAUUUCUGCUUCUCGGGAAGUGGAGUAAAUCUUAACAUUUAGAGGAAGGAGAAGUCGUAACA
rnacentral:rRNA from 1 species